GCCGCGGUCGUAUAGUCUGGCCUAGUAUGCGGGCCUGUCAAUAGCCCGUGACCCGGGUUCAAAUCCCGGCCGCGGCGCCA
rnacentral:tRNA from 1 species